CAGAUGUCGGAGGUGCCGUUCCCCAUUCCCCAUUCCCAGAAUUCCCGGAAUUCCCGGGAUUCCCGGGAUCAGAUCCAGAUGUCGGAGGUGCCGUUCCCCAUUCCCCAUUCCCAGAAUUCCCGCAGAAUUCCCGGGAUAUCACAGCCAGAUGUCGGAGGUGCCGUUCCCCAUUCCCCAUUCCCAGAAUUCCCAGAAUUCCCGCAGAAUUCCCGGGAUCAGAUCCAGAUGUCGGAGGUGCCGUUCCCCAUUCCCCAUUCCCAGAAUUCCCACAGAAUUCCCGGGAUCAGAUCCAGA